AUACGGAAGGUCCGGGCGUUAUCCGGAUUUAUUGGGUUUAAAGGGAGCGCAGGCGGAGAUGUAAGCGUGACGUCAAAUUUCGGGGCUCUACCCCGUCUCGCGUCGCGAACUGCGUCCCUUGGUUGCGGGAAGGGGAGGCGGAACUCGUGGUGUAGCGGUGAAAUGCAUAGAUAUCACGAAGAACUCCGAUCGCGAAGGCAGCCUUCCGGCCCGUCAACGACGCUCAUGCUCGAAGGUGCGGGUAUCAAACAGGAUUAGAUACCCUGGUAGUCCGCACAGUAAACGAUGGACACCCGCGGUUUGGCCUGUAUGGCUGAGCCGCCAAGCGAAAGCGUUAAGUGUCCCACCUGGGGAGUACGCCGGCAACGGUGAAACUCAAAUGAAUUGACGGGG
rnacentral:rRNA from 1 species